AUUAUUUUAUUGUCUGGUUUUCUUAGAAGCUGCCUCAGAAUCUCCCAAGGACCAAGGAGGGAAAUAACGAUUUUCCCCCUAACUUCACACUUCAGUGAAAGCCCAGAAGCACGGCUCGGAUGGGAAGUGGUGAGGGGGCCACGUUUAGUAUUUUCUAAAGGAGUCGGUUUACACCAGGGGGAAGAUGGUAGUUCCAAGCUGUCACAUCAGAAACCUACUUUAUUUUGUGUGUGGAGAGAGAACUCAUCAUUUCAGAAAAGCCGCCAUUGGGAUUUUAGCCCCACGGAGCAGAGAACAAAUUCAGCGUUAGGGACGCAACGACUAAACCGGCGAGUUUCACGCUCCUUGUCACCCAGAGACAGGGACGGAAGAGGGAAACCGUCUGGACCCGUCAGUGCUGAGCUUCUGUCACUGAGGGUCUUCCAGAGAAUGUGUGCCCUGAUGAAAGUGUCCUGUUGCCAAACCUGUUUGCGAGCCAAGCACCUGGGUGGCUGGCCUCUGUCUGACAGGGGUUACACCAGAACCACCCUGGAGGUGGAGCCCUGCCUCCCAGCCCCCUGGGCGGAGCCUCCUGGGAGGGUUCUCCCUGUGUGGACCUUCCACGGCCAGACCAGAUUCUCUCAGGUAAUCUCCCAGAGCGAAGUCCCUUGCUUCCCCUCCUCUGAUGGAAGAUCUCGGGCCUGGCAUCCCCGGUGCAGCCCAUGCAGAGUGGUCCUGAUCCCGGGGGAGUGUGGUUUGCACGGCCCCUGGGAGGGCAGCACAUCCUGGGUGAUGUGGGUGCCAUCCCUUCAGAUUUCUAAGCAGACUCACUCUGGGCCGUCUGUCCACUCAGCCACGUGUGAGAUCCCAUGUUCUCACUGCUUGCUGUGGAACUUGGUGCGGAGGGGGUGUCAGAACGGCCAUGGGUGGCAGGUGACAAUCCUUACAGGCGCUCUUUGAUGGAGGAAGACCCUCGGGGGGCCAUGUCCUUCUGGCUGUCGAUGCACUGGCUUUUUCGUGGGUUUAAUCCCUGGGACAUUGACGUUUCCUGGAUAGCCUACUGUGAACUUCCCGAGAAUUCACGGCAGAGGAAGGUGGCCGCUGUGAGGAGAAUGUAUUCCUGCUCGAGGGUUUGCCGCGACCCAGGAGCGGGAAAGGACACUCAGUGAACACGGUUCUCACUACACGUGCACCUCAUACUUUGACUUAAACGUGACGGAAAAGGAAAUCGCUGACCUGGAACUGAAACCAUGGCUUGCCUUCACGCUGCUUACAAGCAGAUGUAAACGCUGACUGAAAGUUACCAAGGUGGGAGUCUUCGCUGUCUGAGCGUUCUUUUUCAGGGUGACUGGUACACUUGGCCCUCAGACUGAAGAAGGCAUAUGUGCAUGUUCUAGACAAACGGCACUGCUGUCUCCUGGGGCAGCCUGAGCCCACUGGCGUUUCCGAUGCUCCUUAAAGCAGCGGGGAAAUCUCAGUGAUGCUGAAUUAGCCAGGGAGGUGCUGGUGGUAGGACAGCAGACUCUGAAGAAGACCUCUUGGAUUUCCAGUUCCUACUCUGAGAGCUGCGCAUGGCUAGGACUCCGCUGGUCCCAAGUGUUCUGAACAAAGCUGGAGAAGGUGGCACCCAGCCGGGGGAGCCGUUCACGCUCAGAUUCUGGGCUUACCCCUCUGCUUCUUUUCAGAAGGAUUUAAGGCAGGGAAUGAAAGCCUGUGUUAAUUAAGAAGGCUCCAUCCAGGGCGGAGAUGCGGGCUACCGGGUCUGCACGGCGCUGUGGCUAAACUCAGCCCUCUUAGGUCCACGGACUGGUGAAUGAACAGCCUGAUGGCAAGGUCAGAGGCCCUGAGGCCUCUUGCAGAGGUGACGAGACAUCAGGCUAGAUUAAGGAGUGAUAAGCGUUGGGCCCACUGACAUCCUUCAAAGUCCAGCGACCCCCACUCCUGGUCUCUCAGAUGUCUGACACUCUCUCCUGUGCGUGUUUCCCUGACAAACUGAUAGCCCCAGGCGUGGCAAGUGUUACCUUGUGGAGGACUGAGGGUGCCUGGUACCAUUUUUCAGCUUUCCAGUGAGUUCCCGGUGUUGGCCUCCCAGCAGGCAUUCACAGACCAGUGAGCAGUAGCAGCUGGCAGAUCGCUAACGACGUCCGUAAAGUGCGCGUGCGUGGGACUGUGCCGCCAUAGCUCUUGGGUAUGAGGCUGUGUUUAAGAAGCCAGCACGUUUGUGACAGCUGUUUUACUCUGGUCUCAUGAUCUGAGGAUAAAGGUCUUUGUCCAGCAAUGUUUGAAUAAACUUCACACAAGUGAAAUCCAUACUAAGUAACCAAGUUUGACGGAACCUGGGGACUAGUAGGAUUUCUGUGUUUGUGAGCAGUUUGCUGCAAAAUAGAAGGAGGCAUUUGGCUUGACUUUUAGCUCCUGUUUCAAGUUGAUGAGUUGCAUUUUAGAACAAGCUAGCCAGCUGGAACUCUGGCCCCCUCCGUAGGUUUGAUGGAGACGUGUGUGGGUGCCUUGAAUAAAAACUUGAAGGCGUAUUGACGGGUCUGACAGAUGCGACUGUGUGCGUUAAUAUGUUUGGAGAUGCUAUUUUGUGGCCAAAUGUUGGGGCCUACACAGUAAGUGUUAGGGUGUGCAUCCCAGGACCAUGGAAUGGAAUAUCUGAGAUGGGGACUAUCCCGGGAAACUUGAAAUUACGGGUUCCUAUCCUCUGCCGUGACUUAUUACCUGCUGUUUUCUGUCUGUGCUGGCGCUGCCCACGCUGGUUCACCUCCUCCUCCCCCCGCCCUGUUUGCCUUCUCAGGGACGAGGACGGUAACCGUGCUGGAGUGGCUUUCGGAGAGGAAAGGGCAGUUUGUGGGCCAGCCGCGUGGCCGUUAGGUGCCGAGUGAGGCCCAGCAGAUCAGGUGGCUGAUGAGGUCCCCAGACCUACCUGCAGACACUCACACUCCUGCCUGGAGGAGGCGGCGAGGGGCUCAUCUCGAAGACGACCCUGGGGGACUCGGUUGCUCCUCCCGGUGGUGCGGGUUGGGGUGGGGAAGGGGCCGCCGCGGGAGGUUUCAUGAGCUCGGCAGUGGUGGGGGGGCCUUCAGUGGUGCCUGGAGAAGAG